GCUUCUGGUAUUUAAGCUUCAGAUGAGUCACCCGUCACCUGACACAGCUUGGCCAAUCGGGUACAGGAGCCUUUAACCCCGUGAUUCCUGACUCACAGCCACGCCUGCACUCAGGAGAAAACAGAAACAGAAGAUUUAAGUACAUAGGAUCCACCAGAGAGAGGGGC